GACGGAAGGUGCAAGCGUUGCUCGGAAUCAUUGGGCGUAAAGCGCACGUAGGCGGCGCUCUAAGUCGGAUGUGAAAUCCCUCGGCUCAACCGAGGACGUGCAUCCGAAACUGGAGUGCUCGAGUAUGCAAGAGGGUCGCGGAAUUCUCGGUGUAGAGGUGAAAUUCGUAGAUAUCGGGAGGAACACCAGUGGCGAAGGCGGGUCUCUGGGCAGUAACUGACGCUGAGGAGCGAAAGCGUGGGGAGCGAACAGG
rnacentral:rRNA from 1 species